rnacentral:rRNA from 1 species
CGCAUCUGUGCAUGCAGCAUAUCAAUAAGCGGAGGAAAAGAAACUAACAAGGAUUCCCCUCGUAACGGCGAGUGAAGCGGGAAGAGCUCAAAUUUGAAAUCUUAAAGGGUUCCCUUUCACGAAUUGUAGUUUAAAGGAGUGUUUUCUGUUGAGCGUAUCGGUAAUAUAAGUUCUUUGGAAUAGGACAUCACAGAGGGUGAGAAUCCCGUCUAUGAUUGCGAUUUGUAGCUUUGUGAUACACUUUCAAAGAGUCGGAUUGUUUGGGAAUGCAGCCCAAAACGGGAGGUAAAUUUCUUCUAAGGCUAAAUAUUGGCGAGAGACCGAUAGCGAACAAGUACCGUGAGGGAAAGAUGAAAAGAACUUUGAAAAGAGAGUUAAAUAGUACGUGAAAUUGUCAAAAGGGAAGCGUUUAACACCAGUGUUGUUUUCUGAAAAUCAACCUCUGUUAGCUUUAUGCAUGUUUGUUUAGACCUAAUCAGCUAUCUUGCAUGUUCUAUUGUUUGCAGUGGUGCACUUUUCAGUUUACAGGUCAACAUCAGUUUUUUUUACCGUAAAAAAGUUAAAGAAAGGUAGCUCAUGGCUCCGGUCGUGAGUGUUAUAGUCUUUUUCCUAUGCGGUAGGAGAGACUGAGGUCUGCAGUGUAGGCUAUUUGGCUAGAUACUCAGGUGCUAUGUGAUACCAUUUCAUAAACAACUUGUUGAUUAUGUUUUGUCUAUUGCAUACUCGCUUGUACUAUCAUACCUACGCUUAGGAUGUUGACGAUCAGCUGAGCGCG